UACGUAGGGGGGCAAGCGUUAUCCGGAUUUACUGGGCGUAAAGCGCGUGUAGGCGGUUGCGCAAGUUAGUUGUGAAAUCUCCCGGCUCAACCGGGAAACUGCAGCUAAUACUGCGUGGCUAGAGUGGCAGAGAGGAAAAGUGGAAUUCCCGGUGUAGUAGUGAAAAUGCGUAGAUAUCGGGAGGAACACCAGCGGCGAAGGCGACUUUCUGGCUGC
rnacentral:rRNA from 1 species